CUCAAAGAAAAAUAAUAAAGUUAACGUGCUGAGUUGUUGGAGCAGAGAGAGAUCACAAGCAGAGAGGCAGGCAGAGAGACAGGAGGAAGAAGGCUCCCUGCUGAGCAGAGAGACUGAUGCAGGGCUCGAUCCCAGGACCCUGAGAUCAUGACCUGAGCUGAAGACAGCGGCUUAACCGACUGAACCACCCAGGUGCCCCAAAUAUUUUACUCUUGAUGAAAUGAGAAUGAUGUCACUGUGGAAAAUAUAAACAUUAAAGUUACAUCAGCCUCAUGGACCCUUUCCUUUCUCAGAAAAAUUUUCUGUCUUAAAUAUUUUUCUUUUUACUUAUGUGCUGAAUAUAAUUAUUGAGCUGCUAUAAUCUCCCUACUGUAUCAAUGUAAUGAAAUGGUGAUUAGAGUUGGAAGGAAUUUUAGAGAUCACUUUGUCCAUUUCUUUAUUUGGCUGAUCCAGAAACCAAG
rnacentral:lncRNA from 1 species